AGUGGGCUCCGUGAGGCGGAGCCGUGAAUCGGGUCAGGCCUUAACCGGAGCAGCCCUAAGCGGGGUACGUUUGUGCGGAGCCCUCUUGA
rnacentral:SRP_RNA from 1 species